AACGAACGCUGGCGGCAUGCCUAACACAUGCAAGUCGAACGAGACCUCCGGGUCUAGUGGCGCACGGUUUCGUCACGCGUGGGAACCUUCCCUUAGGUUCGGAAUACCUCCCCGAAAGGGGUGCUAAUACCGGACAAUGUCUUCUGACCAAAGAUUUAUUGCCUUUGGAUGGGCCCGCGUUGGAUUAGCUCGUUGUGAGGGUAAAAGCCUACCAAGGCGACGAUGCAUAGCUGGUCUGAGAGGAUGAUCAGCCACACUGGGACUGAGACACGGCCCAGACUCCUACGGGAGGCGGCAGUGGGGAAUAGUGGACAAUGGGCGAAAGCCUGAUCCAGCAAUGACGCGUGAGUGAUGAAGGCCUUAGGGUUGUAAAGCUCUUUUAACCGGGAUGAUAAUGACAGUACCGGGAGAAUAAGCUCCGGCUAACUCCGUG
rnacentral:rRNA from 1 species